GCCACUGUGGUGUAGUGGUUUCAGCACUGGACUAUGGCUCUGGAGGCCAGGGUUUGAAUCCCUACUUGAUCA